CGCAUGUGUUGUUUUAGUGGAAGUACUCUACUCAGCGCUAAUAAGCAGUGCUAUUCGGUGUGUACGUGGUGUGUGAUUGGUUUAAGGUGAGGAUUCUCCUGUAAACCUGACAGAGGGCGUUUUCUUUAGAUGCUCGAGAGGAGGUGGGUGUCGCAAUCAUUUGAGUCGCAUUUUUGGUUCGGGACCAGCGUUCACAUUCUCUUGGAGAAGCAUUAAUUUCACGAUUUACAGUAUGUUCCUAGGUUUGUCAGAUCCAUGACCGUGCAUGUGGGUUCAGCCAAAGUGGUAAAUGUUUAAGACCUGCAUCACUUUGGAAUUUCCUCCCACAUCAAGGUGACACACCGUGAUAUAACUGGAAUACUGUCCAAAAGCAUACUACAUAAGCAAGACUACAUGACUACACUCGCCUGUACAGUAUUGUUGACCUCAGGAUAGAACUAUGAAAUAGUGACAGAAAGCAUCAGCCCGGUGAAUCGUUACUCCCCAAGCCCUCACCCCCUAUUGGAUGGCCCCUGGAUUUAUGAGAUAUUUUGUCAAGAAUUAAAUAUGAUCAAAAGGAAGAGAAUAUAUGGAUGUCAACUUCUUUAUUUCCGAGUCAAUGAAAGUCACGUGACACAGCACAAGUUAACCUCAGCUCAAUCAAACCGCUAUUUUCUAUCAAUUUUCAUUUUUUUUUAAUUCUUUACAAUGGCAGAUUGAAACGUGUCGGUUAGAAACACUUGUUGUAGCAGUAUCAAAAGGGGUACAUGUGGUUUGUGUCCCCUCUUAGGUUUUAGCCCACUCGCGGAACACAUAAAACCGCAUGUACCGCAAGUGAUACUGCCACAAGUUAGAAUGUAUCUUUCUAGAUGUGUCGGUUAGAUACACUUGUUGUAGCAGUAUCACCAGGGGUACAUGUGGUUUGUGUGUCCCUUCUUAGGUUUUAUCCCUCUCGCGGAACACAUAAAACCACAUGUACCGCGAGUGAUACUGCCACAAGUUAGAAUGUAUCUUGCUCCUCAUAAUAAAGAUAUAAUACAUUAUGUGUGUCACUUCUAAAUGCCAUUCAAAGACUUAAAUAUGAUCAUACAUUAUUUUCACAAAACAUAUCUCCGUCAAGAGACCACUUUCAUUGACCAUUUGAGGAUAGGACCAAAAUAAGCCGCCAUUGAAUUCUUCAUGACCAUAUAUACACAUGCUUCUGGCUGUUCUCAUGUCUAUGCUGAAUAUUUGAAUAGGCUUGAAAUCUGUGAAACGAUGUUCAUGAUCGAUUCCUCGGACUGGUAAUCUUUUACCAAUCUUGUCCUGAGCUUUUUUAAAAUGUGUAUAGAUUUGUUUCAACCUAUCAUUCUUAUAAUAUUUAAUUCUAACCAUGAUGGUUUGAGAGAAAAAUUAUGAGAAAUGAAUUAAUUUAAUAAUGUAUUUAUUUGUUGCAACAGAAAGUCACUAUUCUGUGCACAUACAAAAACUUAGUUUGGUAUAUGCAGGAAUCAGGUUAGAUUUGAUAGCAGCAAAAGGAAAAGCAUGUCGAAGUUGUUUUGCUAGUACAGUCACCAUUCCAAACAAUUUACAUAAUGAUCUCCAAAUUUAUAUUUCACUUACAUAAACAUCAGUUUUCAUUUUGUUUUAAAUCAUAGAAUAUAUCAUUUCUAAGCAUCAAGAGUUGACCACUCACUCCUUCAUCUUACUACCCUGUUGCGGUCGCAACCCCUCGCUCUGUUAGAACCCAAGGAUGCAAUUCUUGUUUAGAAGUUUUUGAAAAAGUAGAUCCAAUAAUAAUCUUGUUAAGAAACUACUUGGUCUUAGUGAUUUGGCCGUUACAAUGAGCUGUUUAAUGAUAAAAUUGGGUCACUGAAUUAUGACACUUUUUGUGUAUUUCUUGCUUGGAAUGCAAUGCUGCAACUGCUCCCUUUAUGAUGGUGUGAUUGGGUGACCGAUGAAUCAGCAUUAAUAUGGUCCCACAAAGCAAGGUUUACGUUAAGGUUUAAGACUAACACAUAAAAAUCUUUCAUGAUUUUAUAUGUUGGCAUUAAGGCUUUGUCAAUACUCAGUUUAUUUGAAGGAAAAUACAUUCUACUUUCUGAGGGGAUAUAAGUACUAAGCAUUCCGAUUAAUGUGCGUUUUUUGCACGACCCAAUUUAAAAAUCAUCAAUUUCAUACUCUGUUAUUAUUUAUGUUAGAUAUUACUGAAUCGGACUACUGUCCAUCAAUUUCUCAAAUGUUGUAAUGCCUUGGUUAUUAAUAAUAAUCUGACCUUGCAUGACUUAGCUUCCGGGUUACAAAGUACAAUUAGUUUCUAAUUAUGCAACAUUAGCUUCAUGUUUGUUUACUUUGUUGUGAGGAUUGAAUCAUUAUGCAGUCAAGCGAAAGUUUUUUUUAGUGAUGGACCCUUUAUCAUGCAAGUUGCUUGUAAAUAACGCCCUUUUUGCGGGUUAAAGUUGCUUCUAAUCUUUAUGCAAAACAAAAAACUAAGUUCCAUUUUCAGUAAUGUGUUAUUCAAGCAAUAUGUUUACUGUAUAAAUUAUCUACAACUGUUAAUGCCUUAUUAUUUUUUCACGGAUGAAGUCGUUAGAUUUAAAUCUUGUUGAGUGUCUCAUGUGCUUGGAAAAGGUUUCAUGAUCAAAUUAAUUUACUUAAUUUGUUCAACAGUAUUUGUUUGAUUAUUUUUCUUGCAAUAACAAAUAAUAAUUUAUUGUCUAUAUCUUUUUUUAAUGGCUUAAAAUUGAACAAGUUGUUGAGAAAUUAUUCUUUUGAUAAUUUUCUUUUUCUUCACGCCAAGUCAAAUAAUUUCAGUAAUGAAAAAAUUAAGAAAUUUUUCAGAUGUAUAACCGUUCUUUUGAGAAGUAGCUUUUAAAUAUAUAAUUUUUGUAUUUUGUGAACUAAUCCAAUUAUCAGAAAACUCCAACACGUGAGACAGCCCAAGGUCAUGUUAACAUUAGAUUGUUGUUAAUCAGGUUAAUAUUUCUACAUUGUUUAGUUGUUGCAUGAAAAUAAUAUAUUUGAAUUGUUGAUGCUGUUUCUAUUACAACUGGUUCCAUCCUUUCCACAAACAUUGCACAAUUUUAUCUGGGAGAGAUGAACAGGGGAAGUUAUGAUAAUAACCUCACUGAAUAGUCUAAGAAAGUAAAGAAAGUUUUUGUUAUCUUUUAGGCCAGGAAUUUGAUCAUGCAGUUGAGGUCAUAGGUCAAACGUUCAGUAGUCCACUUGAACAAGGCGAUGAUAAUGUUCCUUGUGAUACAGUGUUGUGUUGAGGAUGUAAGCAAAGCGUGACCUCUAAAUUGUGUUGUACAUGUGGGUCAACUUAAGGUCAAGGUCACUACAGUUUGUUCCUGUAAACCAUGGCUCUGAUACUAGACCAUUUUACUGGCCCUUUUUUUCAGCGUUAUGAUCUCAACCCAAGUUCAUUCUCUCCCUAAUUUAUUCAGUCAAGUGCCUUCGCCUUGACCAUAUUUGGUGAGGUGUUUUGAGCAGUUUAAGCACUUUUUAUCACCAAGAUGACAGGUAUUCAAUGGCAAAUGGUUGCCUCGUUACAGGGAACCAAUAUUGAACAUAUCAAAUAUGUUGUUGCAUAUGUGUAUGUUGUAAAAUCCAUUCACCAGUGUGUUGCUCCUUGCAUGUGUUAUCAUUGACAGACAAAAUAUUGUUGCUGCAAAAUCGUAGGCUAUUAUUCCAGGUAUUCCUUUAACCAGCUUUUUACAUGGUAAAUAAAAGAUAGGUAAAACUGGUUUUUAUUCUCUAUCCAAGAGACCCAAGCACUGUCACCUUGGUUACAGCUGAAACAGUUGUAUCCUGCAAAAUAUUUCUCCUUUAUUCCCAUGUGUAUGUGUUGUCAUGACGAUAUUGUGCACAGUUGACUUCAUUAGUUUACUUUGUACAGUGUAGGAUUUUACAUUUUGACUUUUAAUGAAAUAGUGUUUCAUAUAGGACACAAAUUACAGCAUGUAAUGUGUUUUUUUAAUUUAAGGAAAGAUGUUUCCAAUCUGUAAAUUCUGAAACAUUUAUUUAUCAUAUUAUUAGCUAGAAAUUAUAUGUGAUUCUGGACUAUAUAAGCUGCAAAGUGUGAGUGUUCAUCUUGAUAUGUUAUAGGUGCUGAGUUGUCAGUUUCAAAAAUCUGGGUUUCUUUCAGUAAUUCUUCUGCAUUCAAUGACUAAAUACUCAUUCGUAUUUUAAAGCAUUAUGAUUCAAAAUCUUUUAACAAUAAUUUUUUUGCGAAUCUUACGUGAUUCAAGCAUUACAAGAAUCAAAUCUUCAGGAGGAGGAAAUAACUCCAUGACAUACAUUGAGAUUAUUUUGUCCAUAGAGCUUGAUUAGCGGAUAAAAUAAUUCUGAAUGAAUCCAACCCAGAUUGUAUGUUUUAUUUUUAGAGUAUUAUGUCUCCAGCAUUACCAUUGUAUUCAUACAGCAAGCAUUUGUCAGCUUCCUUUUGUUCCGUGGCUAUAGAAUUGUGUUUAUGACUGAAAACCUUAUGCUUUGUAAAGGGAAUCUAGCUCAACCAGCAUUAGCACAAUCAAAGUAAGUGUGUGUUACCUGCCUCGUUACCUGUCUCGUUACCUGCCUUUGAUAAUUUGUAAGAUGGCAGUAAUUUGCUUGAAGACAAAUUUGCAAUAAUUUCUGUAAAAUUGGAACUUAUGUUGAAACUUUAACUUCAUUAAAUGUUAAAGUUUGUCUACCCAGUUGAAGUCAGUCUGAAAGGUUCUGGCUGUCAUGGUACCACUGGUGUCAAGUCAUUACAAUCUGGUGUGCCAGGAUAAGUGCGUAUUAUUGUCAUGUCUUGAUAUAAAAUGAUACUCUAACACCACAUAAGAGAAUUUGUUGUUACCCAAUCCUAAGGGUUCUAAGAAACAAUUGCAUGCUAAAUUCAUUUCAGGUCGCACAUUUUAAGAUAUUUACCAUUCCAAAACUAAGUACAGUAGGACAUAUUGUCUUGGUUUAUUUCAUACCUGACAACCUUACUAUGAUGACUUAGCACCACAGUAACAGGAAUGGGUGUGUUCCUUUAGGCAUGCCAGAGACCUAAACCUACGAUACGGGUUCGAAUCCCAGAUUUACCCUGCUUUUGAUCCCUAGUUCGUCAGCAUGACACCGGGAUCAGGAGUUUCACCAAAGUGAUAACCAUGUGAGGCCUGCAUCACUUCAGGCUCUAUUCCCACAUUAAGCUGACACACCAUGAUAUAACUGGAAUACGGAACAAACAUUGUUUAACCUGACUCCCUAACUCAGUCAAUAUCACAACCUUGCUCCAAGGCUGUACUAAGGCAAAACCCUUGUUAUUCCAGUUACUGUAAGUCUAGAUAACAUAACAGUUUGUCUGUCACGUAUAGGAACAAAAUUAGCUGGUGAUAUUUAAAAAACCCAGCUGAUCACAAAGUGCAAGUAACUCCAAGGCUUUUGUUUCCAGUUAUUGAGCUAGUUUCUCUUGUCUCUGUUGUAUGUAGAUAAUUAUGGACACAUCUCAAGGCGUAAACUCUUUCCGUGUCAUGAUGUUUCUGGCAAAAACAGAACUGAUGGGAUGUCCUCAGUAAUCUAAUGAAGCCAUAAAAUUUGACAUUUUGUUGAGCAAUAUCCUUCACACACAAUUUUGUCAUAUUUAACAUGGAUUAAAACAAUUGUCAUUUUUAUUUUCCUUCAAGAGGCCUGGAGAUAAUGAUGGCCCAUGUUUGCCCACUUGAACUGCCACAUUUAUGAAAUGAUGGAAAUCUUUUUAAAGAGUCAGGCAUGUGACCAUACAUGUUCAUUUGACUGAGAUAACUAACUUUUUGUCAUUUCAACUCUUACAAGAGAUAUAGGUACAAAGAAAUUUGGUGGGAAAUUUCUGCGUGUAUUAUGGACUUGCUCAUUGUUACAUCUGCUCCAGAUGUUAAAAAGAUGCCUUUUUCUUUCUUUCAUCGAUGCUCGAUGUCCAAAACUGGUCAUGAAUGUGUGAAUUUCUUUUUAUUGACAAAUUGAUGCUUCUUUAAAGUGUGUGAAGGUUUUGGUAAACCAAAAAUUUAUGCUUCUAGAAAAAUAAAUCUAUUAGUUCUGUAUUUGCUACCAUCAGAUCGUGCUUAAAAGACAUGGGUUCAGUUCCAAGAAGCGGUCUCAGAGCUAUGACAAUCUUAACUCUCAUUUUUAACGUGGACUUUAAUUACCACUAUCUUAGCACUAACAUUGCUUUCUGGAACUGGCCCAUUUCCCAGACUCUUUGUUGGUCUACAGACUGUCUGGCAAGAAAUGGCUGACUUUGUUGAAAGUAUUAGACAACAGUAUUCUCAAACGAAAAGCUCAAAUUUCUGUUUCAAGACAAAUCAGCUGAAUCGUUGAAUUGAAAAUGGCAGUUUUAUAUGCCAGCAUAGCCUAGAACUGAUUGUCUUAGAAAUUCAAGCUUUUCAGACUCUAAGAGAGACUUGAAAUUUCAAUGUUAUGUUUGAUGUAUUUUGUGUAUAGAAUUUUGUGAAUAUCACAGUAACAUUUUCUUCAAGUGUUCAAAUCUAAGAGUCACCUGCCCAAGUAUACUGAUUGUGACUGAAAACAUUUUCUUGGAGACUUUUUAAAAUGUUUUUCUACAUCCUCCAUGUCUUGGUUGUAAUGAAGUUUCAAUUUUAUAAAUUGGAAUAACCUUACUUACUGAACAUGGUAAAGGUUUAGGAAAAUACACGAGGGUAUUUUGAGAAUAUGUUAAGACCUACCAUACAGUCAUCCAGUGUUGUACGUCUGAGACCUGCUUUACUUCCUUCCACAUUAAGCCAGGAUAUAACUGGAAUACUGUUAAUAGUGGCAUUGAGACCCAUUUCAGUCAGUCAGUCACUCACUCACUCCAAGGUUUUAAUGUCCAACUGUAAGCACUUCACUGUUGUUUGUAAAUUAUGCCAUUCGACAGGUUUUUUGAUGAUGUUGCUUCCAAUAUGGUGUCAUGCCGCAAUCCACCAUUGCAAGCUGUAUGGGAGGUGCCCCAGCAGUAUUGUCUGUGUUUCCACCAGUGUGGCCCGAGUGAGCUGUGUGGGAGGUGCCCCAGCAGUAUUGUCUGUGUUUCCACCAGUGUGGCCUAAGUGAGCUGUGUGGGAGGUGCCCCAGCAGUAUUGUCUGUGUUUCCACCAGUGUGGCCCGAGUGAGCUGUGUGGGAGGUGCCCCAGCAGUAUUGUCUGUGUUUCCACCAGUGUGACCUGAGUGAGCUGUGUGGGAGGUGACCCAGCAGUAUUGUCUGUGUUUCCACCAGUGUGACCUGAGUGAGCUGUGUGGGAGGUGCCCCAGCAGUAUUGUCUGUGUUUCCACCAGUGUGACCUGAGUGAGCUGUGUGGGAGGUGCCCCAGCAGUAUUGUCUGUGUUUCCACCAGUGUGACCUGAGUGAGCUGUGUGGGAGGUGCCCCAGCAGUAUUGUCUGUGUUUCCACCAGUGUGACCUGAGUGAGCUGUAUGGGAGGUGCCCCAGCAGUAUUGUCUGUGUUUCCACCAGUGUGGCCUGAGUGAGCUGUGUGGGAGGUGCCCCAGCAGUAUUGUCUGUGUUUCCACCAGUGUGGCCCGAGUGAGCUGUGUGGGAGGUGCCCCAGCAGUAUUGUCUAUGUUUCCACCAGUGUGGCCUGAGUGAGCUGUAUGGGAGGUGCCCCAGCAGUAUUGUCUGUGUUUCCACCAGUGUGGCCUGAGUGAGCUGUAUGGGAGGUGCCCCAGCAGUAUUGUCUGUGUUUCCACCAGUGUGGCCUAAGUGAGCUGUGUGGGAGGUGCCCCAGCAGUAUUGUCUGUGUUUCCACCAGUGUGGCCCGAGUGAGCUGUGUGGGAGGUGCCCCAGCAGUAUUGGCUGUGUUUCCACCAGUGUGACCUGAGUGAGCUGUAUGGGAGGUGACCCAGCAGUAUUGUCUGUGUUUCCACCAGUGCGGCCUGAGUGAGCUAUAUGGGAGGCGCCCCAGCAGUAUUGUCUGUGUUUCCACCAGUGCGGCCCGAGUGAGCUGUGUGGGAGGUGCCCCAGCAGUAUUGUCUGUGUUUCCACCAGUGUGGCCCGAGUGAGCUGUGUGGGAGGUGCCCCAGCAGUAUUGUCUGUGUUUCCACCAGUGUGGCCUGAGUGAGCUGUGUGGGAGGUGCCCCAGCAGUAUUGUCUGUGUUUCCACCAGUGUGGCCUGAGUGAGCUGUAUGGGAGGUGCCCCAGCAGUAUUGUCUGUGUUUCCACCAGUGUGACCUGAGUGAGCUGUAUGGGAGGUGCCCCAGCAGUAUUGUCUGUGUUUCCACCAGUGUGACCUCAGUGAGUUGUAUGGGAGGUGCCCCAGCAGUAUUGUCUGUGUUUCCACUAGUGUGAGCUGUGUGGGAGGUCCUGGGGUAUCCACCAGUGCAUCGAGUGAGCUGUAUGAGAGGUGCCCCAGCAGUAUUGACUGUGUUUCCACCAGUGUGGCCUGAGUGAGCUGUAUGAGAGGUUACCCAGCAGUAUUGACUGUGUUUCCACCAGUGUGGCCUGAGUGAGCUGUAUGGGAGGUGCCCCAGCAGUAUUGUCUGUGGAGAGUGGCCAGUUGGUGGCGUUGUGCAAUAUGUCCUCGUGUCAGCCUCCUCUGUUCUGUAUAUAUAUCCCAUGUUGACUGUAGAGCUUGAAGAUAACAUGUGUCACAACUAUAUAAUAAAGCACUAGAAACUUGAA